CUAUAGGUAGACCCAACUAAACUUAACAGGAUUCAUUUUCGUUAUCAUCCAAGAAGAAAGAAAGCAAAUUCCCUACCUACUUUAUUGAAACAAUUUCAUCAAUAAUUAAUCCCAAAUCCAAUUAUCAAUGUCUUAAGUCAAAAAGGACCCAUUAAUAUUAAAGAAAUCUCUAAGAAGAACAUCUGAACUUAACUCUACCAUAUCAUUUUCCAAUUCCAACAAAACGACUCAUAAAGCAAAACGAUAAAAUAUUAAUGAAACAAAAAACAUGAACUCAUUCAGAUCUAGCUACUUAUAACGUAGAAGAGCAAACAUAGCUUAUUAACAUUUAAAUAAUUAUACAAAUUAACAUUCUCAUGCGUCAUUCAUAUAGAGAAAACAUAAUAACAAAUUAAAAAAAUUGUAACGAAAUAGCCAAUAAUCCGUGAAGAGGAAGAAGGAUGGACCUUUGUAUUGACAAACUUUGUUUUGAAUAUUACAUCUGUACUUCAAAGUCGGACAAAAUAGGAAAUUGACUUUUGAUCGGAGCUCGAAACCUCGUCAUUCAACUAAUUUCGCAAAAGGUAACUCGGCAGCAGCAAAAAUAGGAAACCCAGACCAAAGAGAGGUCAAAACUCUAGGGAGAAACUUAAAUACUCGAAUGGAGAAAAGCAGCAAUCGGUUUGGAUUCCACAACUCUUUUGAAAAAUCAGGAAAUAGAAUUAGCUUCCAGAUCUCAAUUCAAAAACUAAAAAAACUUCAAUCCAUGGGAGAUGUGAGAAGAGAAGAGCAAGAAGGAGAAGGAGGCGACUAGGGUUUUUAAUCUAGCGGGGGAUCUGUUCUCUCUCUUUGGAUUUGGGGAAUAUGGAGUGUUUUAAUGAAGAGGGGUAGGUUGGGCCAGGCGGGUUGGGCAGGUGGGGGGUUUUGGAAUGCUAGAAUUGGGGCCAAUUUGGAACAAGAAGGAGAAGACCUUGUUCCUCUUUUAUUUGAUCUUUCAAAAACAGCCACAUUACUACUAAUUGAUUUGUUUUGCCAAAAAUGACCUAAUUAGUAUUUUAACUAAUUAAUUAAACUAAUUGAUUAAAGCUAAUGUAUAUAUUUUGUGAUUUUUGUUUUAACAAUGCGAAUGAUGCAAAACAAAUAAAAGAAAAACUCCUAAAAUUCUAUAAAAUCAUUAAAAUUAUUUUUGGACUAUUUUUAGGAGUAAUUUCCCAUGUGGGAUAAAAAUUAGGUGCUCACAUGAAACAGACAUGGUAGAGGAUUUUAGAUGUUGGAAUUUGGCUCUCUAAGGCUUAUUUGACUAGAUAAAAGGGAGGAUUUUUGGGUUUGCUCGAGCUAAUAUGCUCAACUGGGUUGUGGUAGCACGAGUAGGUGCAUAAUGUGUAGACCAAUGAUUUCGGACAACUCCAGAGCAGUUCUUAGCACGUUCGAGGACGAACAAGUGGGAGAGAAUGUAACGACCCGACCGGUCGUUUUAAGCUCCAGCACGUCGUUCGGCAGUUUGAGGCCUUGAGUAGCUUCACUUCAGGUAUUAUGACUUGUGCACAUGGUCAGAAUUGAAUUUCGGGAAAUUCAGAGUUGAUUUGGAAAGAAAAUUCUAAUAUCGGAAGCUCUAAGUUUGAGGAUUUGACUAAAGUGUGAUAUUUAAAUAAACAGCCUCUGAAUUGGGAUUUGAAGGUUCCAACAUAUUCGUAUGAUGAUUUUGGACUUAGACGUAUAUCCGGAUCAGGUUUCGAAUGACCCAGGAGCGUUUCAACGCCUAUUGUGGAGGUUGACAAUUUAGAAAAAUUUCAUAAGUUUGGGUUGAGGUGCAUUUCAAUGUUAUCGAUAUUCGCUUGGGAUUUCGAGUCUGGGAAUAGCUCCGUAUAGUGAUUCUGGUAUUGGAAGCGCAUCCGGAAGUGGAUUUGGAGGUCCGUAGGUCAUUUCGGGUUCAUUUGGCGGAAGUUAGAAAUUUGAAGGCUUUUGAGAAGUUUGACCGGGAGUGGACUUUUUGAUAUCGGGGUAGGAUUCCAAUUCCGGAAGUUAGAGUAGGUCCGUAAUAUUGAAUGUGACUUGUGUGUAAAAUUUGAGGUCAAUCGGGCGUGAUUUGAUAGAUUUCGGGAUCGAACGUAGAAGUUUAAAGUUCUAAAGUUCAUUAAGCUUGAAUUGGGUUGCGAUUCGUGAUUUUGAGGAUGUUUGAUAUAAUUUGGAGGCUCAACUAAGUUCGUAAUGUGAUUUGGGACGUGUUGGUAUAAUUGGUUGAAGUCCCGAGAGGCCUCGGGUGGAUUCCGUAGGGUUAACAGAUUGAAUUCGGCCUUAUGAAGGUGUUGAGGCUGUUGUCUUCUGGUGUAAUCGCACCUGCGAGGUUAGGGCCGCAGGUGCGGAGCCGCAUAAGCGGCCAUGAGAGUCGCAGAAGCGGCUUAGUCUGGGGAAGUCUGGAAUCGCAGAUGCGGUCGAGUACCACAGAAGCGGGACCGUACCUGCGUAUGUGGCCGCAGAAGCGAGUGGGGGCCCGCAGAUGUGGAGUUGAGGGGCAUGAAGGAGGACCGCAGAAGCGGUAAUUUGGCCGCACCUACGGAACCGCAUAAGCGGUCAAGGGACCGCAGGUGCGAGAGGUCUCUAGGCAGAUUGUUUUAAAGAGCGAGAUUUGGCUCUUCUUCUCUCAUUUUUCACUUGGUUGAGGCGAUUUUGGAGAGUUUCAAGGAGGGAUUUUCAUCAAGCAACAUAAGAUAAGUGAUACUCACCUAUUGCAAGUUAAAUAAAUGAUUGUAUAAGGAUUUAAGCAUGUAAAUUGGUAGAAAUUGUGGAGUUUUUGGUAGAAAACCUAAAAAUUAUAUUUUUGAAUUUUGACCACGAAAUGAGACGUGAAACUUGGAAUAAAUUAUAUAUUUGAGUUUGUGGUGAUAUGGGCAAGGUUUACCUUUGAAAAUUUUCGGAAUCCAGGCACGUGGGCCCGAGAGUGAUUUUAUUGACUUUUCAAGCGGAGUUAGGAAUUGUUAUAAAUUGGAUUAUAAUAAGUAUUAGAAUGUAUAUUUAUGGAUUUGCACGUUCAUUGACUAGUUUUGGAUCGUUGGGCAUCAGUUUGAGUUAUUAGAAGGGCUUGGGAGCCGGUGAUGGAACUUCGAAGCGAGGUAAGUCGCUUUUUUAACCUUUUAAGAGGGAAUUAACCCCAUAGGUGAACUAAGUUAAUAUGUGUUAUUUUUUGUGGGGGCUACGUACGCACGAGGUGACGAGAGUCCGUGCGUAGCUACUAUUAUGCUUAAGUCCGGGUAGUCUAUGACCCAAAUUAUGCUAUACUUGUAAUGUUGCAACCUUAUUGUUAAUUUAAAUUGCUUAAAUCAUAUUGAACUUGGUAACAGAAUUUUUAAAAAAGGUUAAACUUCAUUUUCUUGACCGUUAAAUAAAAAUUUGCCUUUCCUUAGAUAAUUGCUCUUUAAUGAAUUCUUGAUUUGACUGUUUGAAUGUGUUUUUCUUUCGUGGAGCGAGCCGAACACCACGACAGAUUAAAUAGAUACAUCUAUGGUUCGUGCCGUUUGACCCUCGGCAGUGCACAAUUUAAAUAUUAUGUUGGAUCGGGUCGUACGACCUCGACAUGAUUUGCGCAUGAUUGAAUUGGUUGCUUUGAAAUUUAUGAUAAUUUAUAUUGUUUCAUUCGCCUGAGAUAAAAAUUGAUAAACGAUGAAAAAUAAACUUGGAAAUUUCUUGUAAACAAAAGAAUUAUUCACAUAUUAUGAUAUCGAGCUUACAGUCGUUCUACGUAAUCCAUGCUUAGUUAUAUCAUUAAUAUUUUAUUAUAGCCCAUAGUAAGUGUCGAAGUCCACCCCCCCGUCACUACUUCUUCGAGGUUAGGCGGGAUACUUACUAGGUACGCGUUGAUUUACGUACUCAUACUACACAUGCUGCACAUUUUUGUGCAGGUACAUAUAUGUCUAGUGGCCUCGUUGGAGCAGAGGCGUGUCGGCAUGCGGAGACUUAGGUGAACUGCAUUCCAUAGUACGACCCGCAACCAACAGAGUCUCCCUUAGAGUAUUUAUACUUUUUCUGUCCAAUCUGUAUUCCGGACGGGCAUUGUAUUUUGUUUUAUAUCCUUAGUUGAUACCCAUGCACUUGUGAUACCAAAAUUUGGGGUGAUUUGGGUUGUCUUGUAUUGAAAUUAUUGUAAAAUAUUAUUAUUUACACUGUAGAUUUCAUCUUUUACUAUUUAAUUGAAGAAAAUAUGAUUUCAAAAAUAUUAAAAUGAGAACCUAAUUAAGUAUUUAUUUUUGGCUUGCCUGAUAGCGGUGUCCGAUGCCAUUACGACCUUUAAUGAAUUUUGGAUCGUGACAUUGCAAGUAUUAGUGAUAGAAGUUGAAGUUCCUUGGAGACUUUACAUUGUCGAAUUCAAAUUUUCUUUAAUCAAAUGCCUACACAUUGUGCACUAUUAAGUUAGUCGAUCGAACUCUACAUUAACCAGAUAAUAACAAAAUAUAUUUAAAUAUACAUGUACAUACAUGAUGAUCAACUGCAUAUAAUACACAAUAAAUAGACCCAUUGAAUUCUACGUGUGUAUAUGGUUGAAAAAUAAAUAAAAUUUAAACCAAUUCCAAACUCAUUCAAGAAGAGAAGUGGGUGCAUUGGUAAUUAAAAAUAUCGACGAAUAAUUUGUAUAGUCUAUUACAUUUAACAUUCACAUUAAUAGUAAUUUCUGAAAAUAGUGGAGCAAGAAAAAUAACAAGUGAUUUAAAUAAAAGAAAAUUGGGAGACUUUGGAUUACUUAACAGAUCAAUGAGUAAUUUUUAAAAGUUUGUUGAUAAAUUUGGCCGGAUAGUAUAACAGUAGGGAUAAAUUUGAUCGGAUAGUAUAAUGUAGAUUAAAUAUAGACAAUAUCUGAAAGUAGAAAAAUAUGUUUGGCCUUUAACCUUUAAAAAGCAAAAAUUUCUUUAAAUGAUCAAGUGCAAAAGAAAGUAUUUUGGCAAGAUGGCACAAACAAGUUAAUAAAGAAGAAGGUUAUUUUUUUUAUUUUUUAUUUUUAAGAAGAAGGGUUAAUUGACAAAUAAAUAGUUUUGAGAGGUAAAUUUACAAACUCUUCAAAAGUGCAAGGGCCUUUUCUGCACUAUAUUAAAGCUCCCCUCUUCUUCAAUUUCAAGCCCGAAGAACCCUAGCUUUCACUUGGCCGCCGUACCCCUUUAGUGCUAUUAGCAUAACAAUACUGGUAUGUGAAUGCCUCGUUGUAUCUUCAUGAUUAUUUCGUAUAUUUUCUUACCUUUAUUAAAGUGUUUACUUGUUGAGUUAUUUUAUGAUUUUCAUUAUGCAGGGUUACUAUGUUAAGUGUUUAAUUGUAUGUUAAGGAUGCUAAAAUAUUCUUGUGUUAUCAGAUAUAAAUUUUUCUAUGCAAAUUUAAGCCAAAUCUGGUUGUGCUAGCCACAAACUUUUUUUUUUCCUUUUCUUAAGAUUUGUUGAACUUCAAAUUGCAUUAAUAUAUUGAAUAUUUUGAUCCAUUUUGUAAAAGUUGAAGUGCCUGUGUUCAAAUUUAUGUAAUACAUUGUGUGGGUGUGCGUGGACUAAGCUACCUGUAUUAUGCAGAAUAUCUGGAACUUGCUUUCUUUAUUUUUCAGCAUUUUACAUGGUUGUGGGUAGCAGAGGUUUUUGUGUGAAACACGGGAGGCGAGAAUACGUGCUCUUUUGAUGGAAGCAAUUAUCAAAUAAGGGCAACAACAUAUGAUAUUUAAUGAACGCCUUAUGUUUCACAUAAAACCUUCUGCGAUCCAUAACCAUGUUAAUUUUGGGACUAGAAUUUUCUUGUCCUCAAGUGUUGUAGAAUAAGAAAGCAAGAUUUCAGAUGUAUGUAUAAUAUUUGCAGCGUAGUUGGAGUAUAUCCAUGCAUUGUUUGGAUUAACUACAAUGUAUCUGGCUUGCACUUUUUCAGGCUGCAUCUUGUCAUUGUUAUUGUGGUUAGGUUCUUGGUCAUGGACAAAAUAUUAGAGAAUCAAAGAGAAGGCAUAACAUGCCGCUGUCUUUGAUGCAAGAGUUGUGUGCACUCACAUCUAAAUUAAGGUAUUAGGUAUUUAACAAAUAAUUAUUUUGGAACAAUCUUCCUUUUGUAUGGUUGUGGUUGUUGAAGGAUUCAUGUGAACAAGGAGGUGAAGUGCAAAUAACAAGGAAAAUGUUAGAUGUUACUUGAUGUAUCUAUAGAAACCAUUGUAGAAGAGAAAACAAAUACAAAGAGGGUUCAGAGCAAGUCAUGUUGUAAUCUUUCGCAUGUCGAAGAAGACACUUCUGUUUCUCAUAAAUCCUUCAGCUAUCCACAACCAUAUCAAUUGUGAGAUUUUAAUGUUCUUACAUAUCAUGUGUUGCAAAAUAAACAAAGCACGAUCUCAAGCUAUUUUUAAAUGCCUAUAGGUUAGUUUGAGCCUGUCUUUUCAUAUAAAUUAUAGUACAUAAUUUUAAUUUUUUCCCACCUUGUUUUUCAACUAAAAACUUUUCCCACCUUAUAAGUACUUGAUUUAUUUCUUUUUUCUGUUUUUGCAAGUGACCCAACUACUGAAACAACAUAAGAUGGUGGUUCUCAUAUCUUUUUGCAAUUUUCUCUCCAAUUUCUUGUGCUGCAGUUCCCAAUGCUCGUCUUUAUAAAAAUUAAUGGGCGCCAUAUUCCUUGAGAAGAGACAUUUAUUAGCCUAUUUGCCAAUAUAACUGUACAGUCUUUUUUAUUUUGAAAUGAUCUGUUGUGGCCAUAAUCUGCAUCAAUGUUCUAAACGAUAACCAACUAUUCUUGUGAUGGUGAUUUCUUACAACAGAAGGCAAACGCUGCAAAGUUAUCUACUACUUUGAUGUGAGAACUCUCUUCUCUAUUCAUGUUGUGUAUAUUAUAAAAAUACAGUAAAAAGGGGAAGAAAUAAGUGAUGUCAAUCUUAUUUCUUUCCUUAAAGUAAUAGAAACGUAAUUAGAAGUCUUAGUUCUGUUGCCAAGAUAAAGCAACCAUGCUAGAUUAGUGAAUGAAUAGACUGUGGGAUUUUCAUUACUAACUGCUUCGACAGGGAAGUGGAAAACAGGACUCAUCUCAAACUGGAAUUGGAGCAAGUCAGGGGACUUUCAGGUGAACCUGAUACUUUGAAAUGCUUUAAUGUAAGAGGAUGUUUUACUGGAAAAUGAUUUGGAAGACAAAGGGCUCAUAUAAAGUAGCUUGCUUUAUACAUGGAGGAGAAUGAACAUUUACUUUUGCAUUGUCCAAUGGCUGCUAGUUGUGACUGUUUCUGCAGAUUGUUUGGGGUGAGAUGGGUGAUGCCCAAAUCACUAAGAGAUCCUUUUCUGCUGCUGUGAAGGAAUGUAUCUUAAGAAAAGAAUUGAAGGGGAUUUGGAGCAGUAUGCUUUGGCACAUGUGUUUUCUGGAACAGAAGGAGCCCGAGAUUUUCCAAUGAAGAUCUAAUGUUUUUGUAAAUUCUUUAAAGUAUUAAGUGUUACCAGUAUGAAUGGUGUAAAUUGCAUUUUGAUAUAUGGCGUGGAUAGCCUGGUGGUUGUUAAACACAAAAACUUACACAGUAUGACACUCUCUGCUUGCUUUUUUUGGUCAUUUAAUUAUUAAUUAAUUAAAUUAAUUAGAAAGAAUUUGGACUUCAAAUUACCUUUUUGGUUUUAUGUUUUUCAAUCAAUUAAGUGGGUCCAUGAAUCCAUUUAUCAUGGAAGAGAAACGUCUCUCACAUGAAAUAAAACUUUUCCAAUAGUGGGCCCAUGAAUCCACUUCUCAUUUCACACUCACAACCUCCAUUAUUCAAUUCCUGAUGUCACACCAUUUUAGGGAUCUCUCUCUCUCUCUCGUUUUAAGAUAGGAAUUCUCUAAUUGAAACGCAAACACAAAUUAAAAAUAGGAAAAGCAUGCAUCAAACUUGUCCGAAAUAAAAACUACUAUAGAUAUCAUUGGCCUUCUUAUUCCUUACUUUGUAUAAUUUGCACAUUGGAAAGUUUUCAGUUGAGGGAUCUGAUAUCAAUCAUUUGAAGUUAGUCCCUCUUUAUUCAUUCCCACUCAUUUUGAAAAAAUCAACACUGAUGGGUAUUUUCGGAUGAGAACAAUUUGUUGUAGGCCUCUGUUAAAGCCACAUUUGUGGUACUAAAACCACCAUCAAUAACCAGAUUCAUACCACUCACAUAUUUAGAAUCAUCACUUGCUAAGUAUAGCACUGCCUUUGCGACCUCCUCUUCAUCUAGUAAAGCUCCUUUCAAAUUUCCUCCUGCUGCAAACCAUUUUUCCGCUAUCUCUCUCUCAGCUAUUCCAAGCGCAUUCAAUACAAGUGGUGUGCUAAUGUAAUGAGGAGAAACACAGUUAACUUUUAUUCCGUACUUCCCUAAUUCGACCCCAAUGUUCUUGGAAAAUCCCAAAACUGCACCUUUUGAUGCAGAAUAUGCGUGCGGGACAAUACCAGAGACCACUGUCGCAGCACUUGCUGUGAAGAUAAUGGAACCUUUCUUGAAUGGAAUCAUUACUCUAGCAGCAUGCUUAGCGCAAAAGAAG
rnacentral:lncRNA from 1 species